rnacentral:rRNA from 1 species
GGAAUAUUGGGCAAUGGGCGCAAGCCUGACCCAGCGACGCCGCGUGAGGGAUGAAGGUCUUCGGAUUGUAAACCUCUUUCAGUAGGGAAGAAGCGAAAGUGACGGUACCUAAAGAAGAAGCACCGGCUAACUAUGUGCCAGCAGCCGCGGUAAUACAUAGGGUGCAAGCGUUGUCCGGAAUUAUUGGGCGUAAAGAGCUCGUAGGUCGUUUGUCGCGUCGAUUGUGAAAAUCUGAGGCUCAACCUCAGACCUGCAGUCGAUACGGGCAAACUAGAGUGUGGUAGGGGAGACUGGAAUUCCUGGUGUAGCGGUGGAAUGCGCAGAUAUCAGGAGGAACACCAAUGGCGAAGGCAGGUCUCUGGGCCAUAACUGACACUGAGGAGCGAAAGUGCGGGGAGCGAACAGGAUUAGAUACCCUGGUAGUCCGCACCGUAAACGGUGGGCACUAGUUGUGGGAACCUUCCACGGUUUCCGCGACGCAGCAAACGCACUAAGUGCCCCGCCUGGGGUGUACGAUCGCAAGAUUAAAACUCAAAGGAAUUGACGG